rnacentral:sRNA from 1 species
GGGUUACGUCUUUGCGCUUACGCGCUUGGUUGAUCAGGAUUCACACCUCUAUCAAACCGGGUACCGCCACCGUUUAGCAAGGUCCUGCUGUCAGAUCAAAUUGAAACUACUUACCAAUAAAUUUAUUGGGCGAUCAACUCCUUAAGCACAUAUGGCAAAAUGCCGCCAUGGCGGUAGUAA